GCACAGUGCCAGCAUUUGCGGUUAGUCUGUUUUCUUUGCUUUUUUAUAGACUGGAUUUAUAUAUUUAUAACUAAAAUUAGGUUAAAUUUUUUUUUUACAGAGUUAAAUAUUUAGAUUGAUGAAAGAUGUAUAAUAGUGACAGGGAUUAGAUACCCCAUUAAUGUACAUUGUAGCUUUGUCUUAGUUAAUAUAACUAAAAUAAUUUGGCAGUGAGCGACUCUUUUUAGGGGAAGGUGUGGUGUAAAGGAUGUUCCGCCUAAUAAUUUACUUUCGUUAUGUUGGUGUAUAUCUGGUUUAAUAUUAUCGUUGAGUAAGUGAGUUUGUGUAGUUUUAUUUAAGCCAAGUCUAUGUGCUGCUUAUGAAAGUAUUCAUGCGUUACAUUUAUAAGGUUUUGGUUGUAAUACUAAAAUAUUUAGGACUUAAAAGUAAUGUUCAAUAAGUUUGUGAGUGUGAAGUAAGUUUAGCUCAUG
rnacentral:rRNA from 1 species